UUUACACCUAAAUAUGCUAGUCAAGACAGGACACCGGUGUCCGGCCUGAACUAUUUACACCAAAAAUUCAGCCUGACCCAAACCACCUGUAUUAGACGGGCUGACUACAGAGCAUCUAAUUUCCAAAAGCGGGGCACCUUCGCUUCUUCCAUCCAGAGGGAUGGGGCAGAUUCCAUACAACCAAUUCCAAAUAUAAAAUCCCUUGUGGGCCUACGGAUCUAACGGUAUCAGUCUUGCCUCUUCGUUCUUGAACCUGGGCUUCACAGUCAUCGACGGGGCACCCCGGUACUCACUGCGCAGAAGCCGAUGAUCUCCUGGACAAAAGGCCAGUGGUGCCGAGACGAAAGGAGGUCCACGUAGAAGUCCAGGGGUGCUGCCAUGGAGAACGUUAGUAAAGAUCUACCGUCUCACGUCUCUGUCUCAGCUACCGUGACUAUGAG